rnacentral:lncRNA from 1 species
GGCUACACUAUAUUCUAACAUGCACCUAACUUUAACCAUACACAGUUUUCUUCUAGGAAAAAAAAACUACUGACAUGUUUUGGAUAUGUGGUAGACAGGAAUGUAUGAGCGAAACUGAAAGACUGCUGCUUUAUAAAAAUAUCCGUAAAAGAAAACUUGGGACUGAUUGUGCGUGCUUUAAGGUUGUCAGUAUCUAAAAGCAGACCAGCCACAGCCGGACCAGACAGACACCCAACCACAUGCAGGCCCUGGUCUUGUCCCUGUGACAGGCCUUCCUCAGCAUGACUGCCCUCCCAGUGGUCUCCAUGUGUACUGUAGCCCACUUCCUACUAUGUUCUCAUACUACCUUAUUUAGGAGCAGUAGCUUUUUGCAUUGCCUCCUAUGGAGCUGACCUCUCUAAUGACAUCAGAGAGUUGGUGAGUGUUUUGUUUCAGUUUCUAUUUCAUCUAGGUGUGCUGAGCUCAUCUUCAUGUUGACUGGUUGCACAGUUUAAGGUUCUUGAAGAGGGCCCUCCAGCUAAAAUACAGCAGCACGAACUUGAGAUUUAUAUAAGACUUCCGUAUUAAUUGCAUAUUUACCACAUGUACAAUGUGUAUUCACAGAAAGUGUUUGUAGAGAUAAGUAAAGUUUAUAUUUACACCAUC